UACGUAGGGUGCAAGCGUUGUCCGGAAUUAUUGGGCGUAAAGAGCUCGUAGGCGGUUUGUUGCGUCGGCUGUGAAAUCCCGAGGCUCAACCUCGGGUCUGCAGUCGAUACGAGCAAACUAGAGUGUUGCAGGGGAGACUGGAAUUCCUGGUGUAGCGGUGAAAUGCGCAGAUAUCAGGAGGAACGCCGGUGGCGAAGGCGGGGUCUCUGGGGCAACAACUGACGCUGAGGAGCGAAAGCGUGGGGGAGCGAACAGG
rnacentral:rRNA from 1 species